AAACCAACUGGGAUUACCUUAGUAACGGCGAGUGAAGCGGUAAAAGCUCAAAAUUUGAAAAUCUGGGUACUUUCAGUGCCCGAGUUGUAAUUUGUAGAAUUUGUCUUUGAUUAGGUCCUUGUCUAUGUUCCUUGGAACAGGACGUCAUAGAGGGUGAGAAUCCCGUUUGGCGAGGAUACCUUUUCUCUGUAAGACUUUUUCGAAGAGUCGAGUUGUUUGGGAAUGCAGCUCAAAGUGGGUGGUAAAUUCCAUCUAAAGCUAAAUAUUGGCGAGAGACCGAUAGCGAACAAGUACAGUGAUGGAAAGAUGAAAAGAACUUUGAAAAGAGAGUGAAAAAGUACGUGAAAUUGUUGAAAGGGAAGGGCAUUUGAUCAGACAUGGUGUUUUUUAAAUGUGCAAGUCUCUCGUGGACAUGUGCCUCUGGAAAUUAACACUGGGCCAACAUCAGUUCUGGCGGCAGGAUAAAUCAUUAAGAAUGUAGCUACCUCGGUAGUGUUAUAGCUUUUUGGAAUACUGCC
rnacentral:rRNA from 1 species